rnacentral:rRNA from 1 species
CAGAGGUGGCAAGCGUUGUUCGGAAUUACUGGGCGUAAAGGGCGCGUAGGCGGUUCGUUAAGUCCUGUGUGAAAUCCCCCGGCUCAACUGGGGAACUGCACAGGAAACUAGCGGGCUUGAGUUCGGGAGAGGGAAGCGGAAUUCCGGGUGUAGCGGUGAAAUGCGUAGAUAUCCGGAGGAACACCGGUGGCGAAGGCGGCUUCCUGGACCGACACUGACGCUGAGGCGCGAAAGCUAGGGGAGCAAACGGGAUUAGAUACCCCGGUAGUCCUAGCUGUAAACGAUGAGUGCUGGGUGUAGAGGGUAUUAACCCCUUCUGUGCCGAAGCUAUCGCAUUAAGCACUCCGCCUGGGGAGUACGGUCGCAAGGCUG